rnacentral:lncRNA from 1 species
AUGGACAGCGCGAUCUUGCGCCACCUCAUCGAGGCGCUCUUGGAGCGUCAACCGAUUCUCGGCGAGGACUCCACUUUCUUGCGUCGAGCGCUGGUGUUCGGAGGUGUAGCCUCCAUCAUAUCGCCGGUACACCUGGAGUCGUUCUUCACCCGCUAUGGAGUUGUCAUAGCGACCGUCCUGCUACGAGAUGCUACCAGAUGCGAGCGCGUUGGCAUGCUGGUGUUCUCCGCAGAGAGCGAUUGCUUGUAUGCGGCGGAGAUGGAGGCGGCUCGUCCAGGCGCAUACCUGAUGAUUUCCAGGAUUCUUCGCCGGGACUUCAUGUCAAAAUUCUCCGUAUUUUUGGUUCUGAUUUCUGAAUUGGCUUCUGCGGAUGAAUGUUCAUGCUUCUCCCACUUUGUUCAUGUCCUAAUUCUUUCUGUUCCGGUUGAUGACGAGAUUCUGCAUAAUUCGGUAAACCUUGUGAAGGAUGCAGCCGACCAGCAGAGCCAGCGGUGCUCCACCGCCGAGGCAUUCCGUCGAAUGGUUCCCUGGCGAUAUCUGAAAGCAGACGCCCAGGAGGACAUCAACUUGAGGUGCCUGCUGCUGAGGAUGGGGGCAAGGAGCACGGCUACGCCCGGAGAUCUGUACGGCCGGACCUCGCCACUUCUUGAUCCGACGGCGAUGGUGAGUUGGCGACUGCCUACACGGAAGGGCGUACUGCCCGUGACCGGUGACCGCUACCUUGACUUUUAUCCGAUUCGCGGGCAACCGCUCGGACGAGCAAUUCUCAUCAGUUAUCAGAGCGACAAAGUUCCCAUGAUGGCAGAGAGCGCUUUCGUGUCCGCCGAGCUGGUCGCCUUCCACCUCGGCCUCUACGAUUCGGGGCUCUUCCCCUUGGUCGCGGACGGCGCCGGCGGCCAUGGCGUGGUGACGCGGGACCUCCUCCCGCUGUUCUGCCUCUCGCCGGACUUCCUUGGCCGCGUCGUCCUUCUCAGGGGACCCGGCAUCGCCGAGCUCGACGCCGGCGAGGUGUGCAGUCGCGUGGAGGAGCUCACACUUUUCAAACUGCUAAACGGUGUGUUUUUUGCAAAAGGUUUAUAUACGAAAGUUGCUUAAAAAAAUCAAA